UACGAAGGGGGCUAGCGUUGUUCGGAAUUACUGGGCGUAAAGCGCGUGUAGGCGGGCCGUUAAGUCGGGGGUGAAAGCCCAGAACUCAACUCUGGAAUUGCCUUCGAUACUGGCGGCCUGGAGCACGGUAGAGGCGAGUGGAAUUGCGAGUGUAGAGGUGAAAUUCGUAGAUAUUCGCAGGAACACCAGUGGCGAAGGCGACUCGCUGGAUCAUUGCUGACGCUGAGACGCGAAAGCGUGGGGAGCAAACAGG
rnacentral:rRNA from 1 species